GACGAAGGGGGCUAGCGUUGUUCGGAAUUACUGGGCGUAAAGCGAGUGUAGGCGGUCUGCUAAGUCGGGUGUGAAAGCCCUGGGCUCAACCCAGGAAGUGCACUCGAAACUGGCGGGCUAGAGUAUCGGAGAGGUUGGUGGAAUUCUCGGUGUAGAGGUGAAAUUCGUAGAUAUCGAGAGGAACACCGGUGGCGAAGGCGGCCAACUGGACGAAUACUGACGCUGAGACUCGAAAGCGUGGGGAGCAAACAGG
rnacentral:rRNA from 1 species